rnacentral:rRNA from 1 species
GACGAACGCUGGCGGCGUGCCUAACACAUGCAAGUCGAGCGGGGACAUUGCGACGGAUAUGAAGUUUUCGGAUGGAUUUGAAGAUGUAAUGUUCUAGCGGCGGACGGGUGAGUAACGCGUGAGCAACCUGUCCCUUACAGGGGGAUAACACAGCGAAAGUUGUACUAAUACCGCAUGAGACCACAGAGCGACAUCGCUUAGGGGUCAAAGGAGCAAUCCGGUAAGGGGUGGGCUCGCGUCCGAUUAGAUAGUUGGUGAGGUAACGGCCCACCAAGUCGACGAUCGGUAGCCGACCUGAGAGGGUGAUCGGCCACAUUGGGACUGAGACACGGCCCAAACUCCUACGGGAGGCAGCAGUGGGGAAUAUUGGGCAAUGGGGGAAACCCUGACCCAGCAACGCCGCGUGAGGGAAGAAGGUUUUCGGAUCGUAAACCUCUGUCCUUGGUGAAGAGAAAGAGACGGAGC